GACGAACGCUGGCGGCGUGCUUAACACAUGCAAGUCGAACGGUAAGGCCCUUCGGGGUACACGAGUGGCGAACGGGUGAGUAACACGUGGGUGAUCUGCCCUGCACUUCGGGAUAAGCCUGGGAAACUGGGUCUAAUACCGGAUAGGACCCUGGGAUGCAUGUCCUGGGGUGGAAAGCUUUCGCGGUGUGGGAUGGGCCCGCGGCCUAGCAGCUUGUUGGUGGGGUGAUGGCCUACCAAGGCGACGACGGGUAGCCGGCCUGAGAGGGUGACCGGCCACACUGGGACUGGGAUACGGCCCAGACUCCUACGGGAGGCAGCAGUGGGGAAUAUUGCACAAUGGGCGCAAGCCUGAUGCAGCGACGCCGCGUGAGGGAUGACGGCCUUCGGGUUGUAAACCUCUUUCAGCACCGACGAAGCGCAAGUGACGGUAGGUGCAGAAGAAGGACCGGCCAACUACGUGCCAGCCGCCGCUGUAA
rnacentral:rRNA from 1 species